GAUGAACGCUGGCGGCGUGCCUAAUACAUGCAAGUCGAGCGAACAGACGAGGAGCUUGCUCCUCUGACGUUAGCGGCGGACGGGUGAGUAACACGUGGAUAACCUACCUAUAAGACUGGGAUAACUUCGGGAAACCGGAGCUAAUAUCGGAUAAUAUAUUGAACCGCAUGGUUCAAUAGUGAAAGACGGUUUUGCUGUCACUUAUAGAUGGAUCCGCGCCGCAUUAGCUAGUUGGUAAGGUAACGGCUUACCAAGGCAACGAUGCGUAGCCGACCUGAGAGGGUGAUCGGCCACACUGGAACUGAGACACGGUCCAGACUCCUACGGGAGGCAGCAGUAGGGAAUCUGCCGCAAUGGGCGAAAGCUUGACGGAGCAACGCCGCGUGAGUGAUGAAGGUCUUCGGAUCGUAAAACUCUGUUAUUAGGGAAGAACAAAUGUGUAAGUAACUAUGCACGUCUUGACGGUACCUAAUCAGAAAGCCACGGCUAACUACGUG
rnacentral:rRNA from 1 species